rnacentral:rRNA from 1 species
UACGUAGGGUGCAAGCGUUAAUCGGAAUUACUGGGCGUAAAGCGUGCGCAGGCGGCUUUGCAAGACAGAUGUGAAAUCCCCGGGCUCAACCUGGGAACUGCAUUUGUGACUGCAUGGCUAGAGUGCGGCAGAGGGGGAUGGAAUUCCGCGUGUAGCAGUGAAAUGCGUAGAUAUGCGGAGGAACACCGAUGGCGGAGGCAAUCCCCUGGGCCUGCACUGACGCUCAUGCACGAAAGCGUGGGGAGCAAACAGG